rnacentral:rRNA from 1 species
UACAGAGGGGCAAGCGUUGUUCGGAAUUACUGGGCGUAAAGGGCGCGAUAGGCGGCCUUCUAAGUCGAACGUGAAAUCCCUCGGCUCAACUGAGGAACUGCCUUUGAAACUGCCUGGCUUGAGGCCGGGAGGGGUAGCGGAAUCCAGUGUAGCGGUGAAAUGCGUAGAUAUUGGGAGGAACACCAGUGGCGAAGGCGGCUACCUGGACCGGUUCUGACGCUGAUGCGCGAAAGCGUAGGUAGCAAACAGG